rnacentral:rRNA from 1 species
UGGGGAAUAUUGGACAAUGGGGGCAACCCUGAUCCAGCCAUGCCGCGUGAGUGAUGAAGGCCUUAGGGUUGUAAAGCUCUUUCGGGUGGGACGAUGAUGACGGUACCACCAGAAGAAGCCCCGGCUAACUUCGUGCCAGCAGCCGCGGUAAUACGAAGGGGGCGAGCGUUGUUCGGAAUGACUGGGCGUAAAGCGCACGUAGGCGGCUUGUUUAGUCAGGGGUGAAAUCCCGGGGCUUAACCCCGGAACUGCCUUGGAUACUGGCAAGCUUG